rnacentral:rRNA from 1 species
AGGAUAGCUGGUGCAAUUAAUGAUUAUAUAAAAUAAUCUUAUCUGGUAAAGCGAAUGAUUAGAGGCAUUAGGGUCGAAACGAUCUUAACCUAUUCUCAAACUUUAAAUGGGUAAAAACCUUAUCUUUCUUGAUAUGAAGAUAUUUAUGAUAUAUUGUGCCCAGUGGGCCACUUUUGGUAAGCAGAACUGGCGCUGUGGGAUGAACCAAACGUUAUGUUAAGGCGCCUAAAUUAACAACUCAUACUGAUACCAUGAAAGGCGUUACUUGCUUAAAACAGCAGGACGGUGGUCAUGGAAGUCGAAAUCCGCUAAGGAGUGUGUAACAACUCACCUGCCGAAGCAACUAGCCCUUAAAAUGGAUGGCGCUUAAGUUGUAUGCCUAUACAUUACCGCUAAAAUAUAUGAUUUAUAAUUAAUUUAUUAUAAAUUUUGAAAUUUUAGUGAGUAGGAGGGUACAAUGGUGAGCGUAGAAGUGUUUGGCGUAAGCCUGCAUGGAGCCGCCAUUGGUACAGAUCUUGGUGGUAGUAGCAAAUAAUCGAAUGAGACCUUGGAGGACUGAAGUGGAGAAGGAUUUCGUGUGAACAGUGGUUGAUCACGAGUUAAUCGGUCCUAAGUUCAAGGCGAAAGCCGAAGAUACAAAAGUUUAAAUAUUUUUUAAUGAAUACUUUGUAUUUUUUAAUGAACGAAAGGGAAUACGGUUCCCAUUCCGUAAUCUAUUAAGUUUACGUUUGUAACUAAAAAUGGGUUUUAAUGCUCAUCCUGGUAACAGUAACAACCAUAGAGAAGCCGUCGAGAGAUAUCGAAAGAGUUUUCUUUUCUGUUUUAUAGUUGUAUUACCAUGGAAGUCUUUCGAAGAGAGAUAUGGUAAAUUGACUAGAAGAGCAUGGCAUUUACUGCUGUGUCGAUAUUUUCUCUUCGGACCUUGAAAAUCUAUGGUAGGGUCACGCAAAUUUCUUAAUAGGCCGUACCGAUAUCCGCAGCUGGUCUCCAAGGUGUAGAGCCUCUAGUCGAUAGAAUAAUGUAGGUAAGGGAAGUCGGCAAAUUAGAUCCGUAACUUUGGGAUAAGGAUUGGCUCUGAAGAUUGAGAUAGUCGGGCUUGAUUGGGAAGCAAUAAUAUGGUUUAUGUACUCGUUCUGGGUAAAUUAGAAUGAAGUUUAUAUUUUAGAUGUAAAUGGAAUUUGUUCCCCGGAUAGUAGUCUACGUAACCAAUUGCGGAACUUUCUUGCUAAUAAUAUAUUAGAAAUAAUGAAUGAAAAUUUAUAUAUUAAUAACGGCUAUCAAUUAACAAUCAAUUCAGAACUGGCACGGACUUGGGGAAUCCGACUGUCUAAUUAAAACAAAGCAUUGUGAUGGCCCUAACGGGUGUUGACACAAUGUGAUUUCUGCCCAGUGCUCUGAAUGUCAAAGUGAAGAAAUUCAAGUAAGCGCGGGUAAACGGCGGGAGUAACUAUGACUCUCUUAAGGUAGCCAAAUGCCUCGUCAUCUAACUAGUGACGCGCAUGAAUGGAUUAACGAGAUUCCUACUGUCCCUAUCUACU